CCGCGCGCUCGCGUUUCACCUUUCGUCCACCGACUCCCACAUGCUUCUGUCCAAGUGAAGCCAUUACCGGCAUGGCUAAAGCGACGUCGCUGGCGAGGACAGGUUUCCCCAAGCUCGCCGUGGCCCUGGAGACGCAUUUGCCAAGACAUGUGAGGUGAGGGCAAAAGGCACAGCGGUAGAAACGCUGCUUUAGCUGUACGCCUUGACUGUACACGAAUAAGGAACACCUUCAGUGCUCGCCUAUUCAGAGUGGUCUAGCACAAUUCUGGAACAAAGUUUAUGGAGCCUCCUGCCCUCCUCUUUGGAUUGGGUUCAUUGAUCUCAUCUCAUCUCAUCUCCCGGCAGGCAUGAACUUCAAUUUAUUUAUUUAUUUUUUUUUUUGAAACGAACGCGAGCAACGCAUAAGUUUUAACCAAGAGCUGUUCAUUGAAUCAUUCUUGAGGGACAUUGAACGAUUUUGAUACCUUUUCGUCAGGAGAACCUCGCGAGUUUAUGCGGGAUGAACAACAGCAGCAAGUGACAAGAUUCAGAAAUGGGCCGAGCUAAUUGAGGAUUUAAACGGGCCGAACAAUUUCAUUGUUUCAGAGGGAAAGAACCUGCUUGUAGAAACAUUGGUGGCUUUUCUGCAACACCACUCUACCACUGCAGCAGAGUGACGAGCUGUCGUCACCUAAUGAGACUCUGCUCUUGACAGCGAUUGAAUAUCUGAAAUUCCAAACAGUGGAUGGGCAACGGUUUUAAGGUUAUAUAUGAUGUCCAUAUAAAUAAUAUAAAGAAAGGGUUAUAUGUGAUGAUAACGAUGUCACUUAUGAUGAUACGAAUUUUGAUAAGGUCUCUUAAUGUUUUUUUGAAAGAAAGGUCUCUGAAAAUUUUAGAUGCUCAUUGUACAAGUGUAAUGUACUAAUGCUGAGCAAAUAUUAGGUGACUAGAGCACUAAACAAUACGGGGGCACCGGGACACUAGGAUGAAUAUCUUCUGUUAGGAGUAGCGACGUUUCUGCACCACCACUCUUUACCGAUCAAGCCAUGCCAGCAUA
rnacentral:lncRNA from 1 species